rnacentral:rRNA from 1 species
UUACGCCAGCAUCCUAGCCGAAGCGCGGACCUCAGUCCCGGCUGGCCGUAUUACACCCUGGGCUAUAACACCUCCACCGAAGUGGAGGCCACAUUCCCAGAGCCUUUAUCCGGCCGCCGAAACUGAUGCUGGCCUGUCCAAACUGAGUAAACCGGUCAGAAGACCGGCCGAACAGUUUAAACAAGUCUGAUUGCAAGCGCUUCCCUUUCAACAAUUUCACGUGCUUUUUAACUCUCUUUCCAAAGUGCUUUUCAUCUUUCGAUCACUCUACUUGUGCGCUAUCGGUCUCUCGCCAAUAUUUAGCUUUAGAAGAAAUUUACCUCCCAUUUAGAGCUGCAUUCCCAAACAACUCGACUCGUCGAAGGAGAUUUACAUAGGGUGCCAUUUCCUGUCACAUACGGGAUUCUCACCCUCUAUGACGUCCUGUUCCAAGGAACUUAGACAGGCGGCUUCCCCAAAUCAUCCUCUACAAAUUACAAUGCGAACCCGAAGGCUAGCUUUCAAAUUUGAGCUGUUGCCGCUUCACUCGCCGUUACUA